rnacentral:lncRNA from 1 species
GAGAGACAGGAGAUACACAAAUUGCCAUGGUCUGAGGGUGGCCGUGUGCUCUUAAUAGGCAGGAACCUGCCUCCCUCCCCUGGCCUGACUCGUGUUGUUCCUGCUCCACACAGGUUGCCCCUCAGAGGGCUGGGGCAGACCCACACCAGGAAACCAGGUGCGCG